rnacentral:rRNA from 1 species
CCUACGGGUGGCAGCAGUGAGGCAUAUUGGUCACUGGCCGGAAGGCUGAACCAGCCAAGCCGCGUGAAGGACGAAGGUGCCAAGCAUUGUACACUUCUUUUGUCAAGAGACAAAAUCAGGCUCGAGAGCCUGACCGAGGGUACUUGAAGAAAAAGCAUCGGCUCUCUCCGUGCCAGCAGCCGCGGUAAUACGGAGGAUGCGGUCGUUAUCCGGAUUUCUUGGGUUUAAAGGGUGCGUAGGCGGACUGUUAAGUCCGCGGUAAACGCCCGGGGCUCAACCCCGGCGAGCCGUUGAAACUGGCUGUCUUGAGAUGUCGAGGGGGAUGCGGAAUGCGCAGUGUAGCGGGGAAAUGCUUGGAUAUUGCGCAGAACUCCGAUUGCGAAGGCAGCAUACCGGCGGCGAUCUGACGCUGAGGCACGAAAGCGUGGGUAUCGAACAGGAUUAGAGACCCUUGGAGUC